AUUGGUGACUUCAAUGAGAUCUUGCUCUCAUCUGAAAAGGAAGGAGGGGUUGCACGGCACCAAUCCCGUCUGGCAGCGUUCCAAGAUGCUCUGUCUGAAUGCUCUCUAGAGGAUAUGGGAUAUGUUGGUGAUAAGUUCACUUGGUUUAGAGGUGGACUGAAGGAACGCUUAGACAGGGCUGUUACAAAUGCUGAUGGGCAUGCACCCGUAUGCAGGCCUGUGUAA
rnacentral:rRNA from 1 species